rnacentral:pre_miRNA from 1 species
AGUGGGAUAGCUGGGUCAAAUGGUGGUUCCAAUCCAUGUUUUUUUCUAAGGUAUCUCCAUACUACUUUCCAAAGUGGUUGCACAAUUUUGCCAUCCCACCAGCAAU